rnacentral:rRNA from 1 species
UAGGGAAUCUUCCACAAUGGGCGCAAGCCUGAUGGAGCAACACCGCGUGAGUGAAGAAGGGUUUCGGCUCGUAAAGCUCUGUUGUUAAAGAAGAACACGUAUGAGAGCAACUGUUCAUACGUUGACGGUAUUUAACCAGAAAGUCACGGCUAACUACGUGCCAGCAGCCGCGGUAAUACGUAGGUGGCAAGCGUUAUCCGGAUUUAUUGGGCGUAAAGAGAGUGCAGGCGGUUUUCUAAGUCUGAUGUGAAAGCCUUCGGCUUAACCGGAGAAGUGCAUCGGAAACUGGAUAACUUGAGUGCAGAAGAGGGUAGUGGAACUCCAUGUGUAGCGGUGGAAUGCGUAGAUAUAUGGAAGAACACCAGUGGCGAAGGCGGCUACCUGGUCUGCAACUGACGCUGAGACUCGAAAGCAUGGGUAGCGAACAGGAUUAGAUACCCUGGUAGUCCAUGCCGUAAACGAUGAGUGCUAGGUGUUGGAGGGUUUCCGCCCUUCAGUGCCGGAGCUAACGCAUUAAGCACUCCGCCUGGGGAGUACGACCGCAAGGUUG